rnacentral:snRNA from 1 species
AUCGCUUCACGGCAAUCUGGGCUAAGAUCAUGUGUAGUAUCUGUUCUUUGCACCGUAACUUCUGCAACGGCCUCGUAUUGCAUUAUCCCGAGGAUUGACCCAUA